ACAGGGAUUGCCUCAGUAACGGCGAGUGAAGCGGCAUCAGCUCAAAUUUGAAAUCUGGCUCUUUUAGAGUCCGAGUUGUAAUUUGCAGAGGGCGCUUUGGCAUAGGCAGCGAUUCAAGUUCCUUGGAACAGGACGUCACAGAGGGUGAGAAUCCCGUACGUGGUCGCUAGCUCUUGCCGUGUAAAGCCCCUUCGACGAGUCGAGUUGUUUGGGAAUGCAGCUCUAAAUGGGAGGUAAAUUUCUUCUAAAGCUAAAUAUUGGCCAGAGACCGAUAGCGCACAAGUAGAGUGAUCGAAAGAUGAAAAAAACUUUGGAAAGAGAGUUAAACAGCAUGUGAAAUUGUUGAAAGGGAAGCGCUUGCAGCCAGACUUGCCUGUAGUUGCUCAUCCGGGC
rnacentral:rRNA from 1 species